CAGCCGCCGCGGUAAAACGGAGGAUCCGAGCGUUAUCCGGAAUUAUUGGGUUUAAAGGGUGCGUAGGCGGACAGAUAAGUCAGUGGUGAAAGACGGUGGCUCAACCAUCGCAGUGCCGUUGAUACUGUUUGUCUUGAAUAUGGAUGAGGUAGGCGGAAUGUGGCAAGUAGCGGUGAAAUGCAUAGAUAUGCCACAGAACACCGAUUGCGAAGGCAGCUUACCAAGGCAAUAUUGACGCUGAGGCACGAAAGCGUGGGGAUCGAACAGGAUUAGAUACCCCGGUAGUCCCUGUCUCUUAUAC
rnacentral:rRNA from 1 species